rnacentral:piRNA from 1 species
UAUCACAAGACCUCUUGUCAGGCAGG